rnacentral:rRNA from 1 species
UAAUCCUAGAAAGUUCUUCGUAGUCCGGAUUGGAGUCUGCAACUCGACUCCAUGAAGUCGGAAUCGCUAGUAAUCGCGAAUCAGCAUGUCGCGGUGAAUACGUUCUCGGGUCUUGUACACACCGCCCGUCACACCAUGGAAGUGGAUUGCACCAGAAGUAGAUAGUCUAACCUUCGGGAGGGCGUUUACCACGGUGUGUUUCAUGACUGGGGUGAAGUCGUAACAAGGUAGCCGUAGGGGAACCUGUGGCUGGAUCACCUCCUU